UAAAAAUAGCAAUACAUUACUAUAAAGUAGUAUUUCAGUAAGCAGGUUUCACAGAACUAAAGACGAGACCAAGCUGUAUUUACAUACUACUGCUUAUACAAGAUGAAUGUUCGAUGCAUCCUCGUUAUUUUGCUCCUCAUUUCAGCAAGCCAUCAUGUUGAAUCACAGAAUUUUGGACCGUUUUUAGGAGGACUAGUUUUUGGUGGUUUGUUGAACCGAUUUUCAGCUCCGCCACCACCACCAUUUUACACACCAACUUUCUACUACCCACAGUUUCAAUCUGGAUUUGGUCGAUUUGGAUAGAUAACUAAAUUAAGACUGUUUAUCAGUGCUGCAUAUGACAUUGAGAAGAAUCGAUUUGUAAAUGAAAAUGUGAGAAAACAGAAAAACAAUUGACAUAUUUUUACUUCUACAGUAACUGUUGUUUUCCUUUUUUUUUUUUUUAUUCUGGAUUUACUUAAUAGUUUUUAUUAGAAAAAAAUCAGCGUGUGGUGAUUAAUUAAUAAAUACAGGUAAAUAAUAGCAUAAUGAAAACAA